GUUCCUACGGGGGGCAGCAGUGAGGAAUAUUGGUCAAUGGGCGGAAGCCUGAACCAGCCAAGUCGCGUGAGGGAAUAAGGCCCUACGGGUCGUAAACCUCUUUUGCCGGGGAGCAAGGGCCGGGACGCGUCCCGGCCCGGAGAGUACCCGGAGAAAAAGCAUCGGCUAACUCCGUGCCAGCAGCCGCGGUAAUACGGAGGAUGCGAGCGUUAUCCGGAUUUACUGGGUGUAAAGGGCGUGUAGGCGGGACUGCAAGUCAGAUGUGAAAAUUAUUGGCUCAACCCAUAACCUGCAUUUGAAACUGU
rnacentral:rRNA from 1 species